UACGGAGGGUGCAAGCGUUGUUCGGAGUCAUUGGGCGUAAAGCGCGUGUAGGCGGCUUGGCAAGUCAGUUGUGAAAGCCCGGGGCCCAACCCCGGAACUGCAUCUGAAACUGCCUAGCUAGAGUCCCGGAGAGGAAGGCAGAAUUCCCGGUGUAGGGGUGAAAUCCGUAGAUAUCGGGAGGAAUACCAGCGGCGAAGGCGGCCUUCUGGACGGUGACUGACGCUGAGACGCGAAAGCGUGGGGAGCAAACAGG
rnacentral:rRNA from 1 species